rnacentral:rRNA from 1 species
AUUGAACGCUGGCGGAAUGCUUUACACAUGCAAGUCGAACGGCAGCACGGGGGCAGCCCUGGUGGCGAGUGGCGAACGGGUGAGUAAUACAUCGGAACGUGCCCGGUCGUGGGGGAUAAUGUAGCGAAAGUUACGCUAAUACCGCAUACGAUCUGAGGAUGAAAGCGGGGGACCUUCGGGCCUCGCGCGAUCGGAGCGGCCGAUGUCAGAUUAGGUAGUUGGUGGGGUAAAGGCCUACCAAGCCGACGAUCUGUAGCUGGUCUGAGAGGACGACCAGCCACACUGGGACUGAGACACGGCCCAGACUCCUACGGGAGGCAGCAGUGGGGAAUUUUGGACAAUGGGCGCAAGCCUGAUCCAGCCAUUCCGCGUGCAGGACGAAGGCCUUCGGGUUGUAAACUGCUUUUGUACGGAACGAAAAGGCUCUGGCUAAUACCUGGGGCUCAUGACGGUACCGUAAGAAUAAGCACCGGCUAACUACGUG